CGCCCUCGAUUUUCAACAUAAAUAAUCAACACUUUUAAUAAAUAAAUUCCUCGUUGUAAUAUAAAUAAUACCCCAAAAGACCUUUAUGUUCACUGUUCUCAAAUAAAAUUCAAAUAUUACAUUUCCAACUCGAAGGCCCCAAGUCAUCAAAAUUCUAGUAUCCUACGGAAAUAUUAUUACAAUUUAUAAAUAAUAUCUUUCCUAAAAAUGCUCUUUCAGAUCUUGUGCUAUGAAAUCCUUCUUGAAUACCUUUUAAAGGUUUGGUCACAAAUGCACGACAAGCACUCCAUGCCAACAUCCUUGAAUCAUACUUGAAAAUGAUAGGGUGAGCUACACUAGCCCAGCAGGGAAAUCUAUAUGCACAAGCUAUAUGAAAAUGCGAUGAAUCAUGCACCUAGAGUGAGUGAAUACGACGAGAUCUACAAAGAAACAUGGGUCUGCCACCACGAACGAGCAUACUACAACCAGGGAAUCAUGAUUUCAUAAAGAUAACCCUAAUAGCUCACACGUCAAACUAGAAGCAAAAAUCGACUCGAAUUAUUCCAAUUAGACCACAACUUGUCCUCAACCGUCGUUUGUCCAUCGCUACGCAAUUACUCCAUUCUACCUCGAUCUAUACGAAUAUGUGAUGAUCAUGCACCAACAGUGGUACGUGAGCAACAUUAUAUAUGUACAACGAACCCCAAGAUGCUAAUGACAAUGAGUAUAUCUAUCAACAGAACAACACGAACAUAUCAUUGGAUUUCCUUUUUGAACAUAAUUGAUUUGUCUUUCAUUUCUCAAGUAUUAGCCACCCCAUGCAACAAGAACUAGUUUCCUUGAUUUGUACCGAACAAGAGGCUCAAUGAGGAAGGAUAGUAAUUCAAGAUACAGUUCAAAGUCGAAUGACAAGCCAAACAUUAGAUUAACAACUUUAUCUCUCUUUUCAUUUCUCAAGCAACACAGGUCAUAAGUCUAGCUCAACCAAUCAACAAUGCGUGAUAUGUGACGCAAAGCAAUGCACCGGGCAAUGUUGGACCCCGUAACCCUCGCCAAGGUCCCACCAAGAAGGUGAACCGGGCUCCGUCCAUAUUGACGUGAAUUCCGGGCGGUGUUGGGUCCUGUAACCCUCGCCAAGGUCCCACCAAGAAGGUGAACCGGGCUCCGUCCAUAUUGACGUGAAUUCCGGGCGGUGUUGGGCCCCGUAACCUUCGUCGACAUCCGAAGUUGGAUACGACUCCAUCCAUUGUCCAUAUGCUAUGACAUUCCACACCACGAUACAUACAAAGUUCGAUAUCACACGUGGCCAUAACACUCGAAUCAUAGGUCCAUAAACAUCCUUCAUUAUGCACAAUCCAUCCACAAUCAAUCUCACACCCAUUAUCGAGUUAAAACGAUUAUACAACAUCAUUAAAAAUUGCAUACUCAAUAUUUUUCAAUGACUCCAACGCCAAAAUAUCACCAACUUACCAAUCUUUAAAACCCAUAAGGACCCAUAGCCCAUAGCGUCGUUUAACCAUGACAAGCGAUGAAAAACGCAGCUCUGUAAGCUGCCAAGAUUUCCAGAUUUCAGUUCAAUCUUCUAAAAAUCACUAUAAAUUGAUUUCUUAAUAUUUUUGAGUGAUUCAAAUCCCAAAAGUUGCGCGAUUGAACGAAGCUAAAAAGGUAUGAAGGAAGCCUUUUCAAAUCUGCACUCCAAGGAUGGUUAAAUAGGCAUUUACUUAAGCAAUAUGAAUCUGUCACGCAGCAUGACAGAUUGACACACCUCUACUCAAACGAUCAUAACUUUCUGUGUACUAAGAGUUUUAAGACGAUUCUAGUGGCAAAUGAAAGCUGACUUCAAGACCUUCGAAUUGAUAUAAAGUUUGCAUGAAACGGACAUCGGACGAGGAAGUUAUGGCCAUUCGAAUACGGACAUCGGACGAGGAAGUUAUGGCCAUUCGAAUUGGGCUGAAAUCCAGAACACGAGACAGAUUGCAGACCAGUUUUCUAAAAAUCACCAUCAAUUCAAUUCUCAACGGUUUCGUAUGAUUCCAGCGGCAUUAGAACGGGCUCUAAGUCUACUCUAUUUCAUACGAAGGAACCAAAAUUCAAAUCUGAGCUUAAGAAGGCGUAAAACCCCAAAAACGCAGGCCCUGUUCUGCUGAUUUUCGGAAAUGGAAG